rnacentral:tRNA from 1 species
GGGCCGUUAGCUCAGCUGGAAGAGCGCUGCCUUCGCAAGGCAGAGGUCGGCAGUUCGAAUCUGCUACGGUCCA